GAUGAACGCUGGCGGCGUGCCUAAUACAUGCAAGUCGAGCGAACAGAUGAGAAGCUUGCUUCUCUGAUGUUAGCGGCGGACGGGUGAGUAACACGUGGGUAACCUACCUAUAAGACUGGGAUAACUCCGGGAAACCGGGGCUAAUACCGGACAAUAUUUUGAACCGCAAGGUUCAAUAGUGAAAGACGGUUUCGGCUGUCACUUAUAGAUGGACCCGCGCCGUAUUAGCUAGUUGGUAAGGGAACGGCUUACCAAGGCGACGAUACGUAGCCGACUUGAGAGGGUGAUCGGCCAGACUGGAACUGAGACACGGUCCAGACUCCUACGGGAGGCAGCAGUAGGGAAUCUUCCGCAAUGGGCGAAAGCCUGACGGAGCAACGCCGCGUGAGUGAUGAAGGUCUUCGGAUCGUAAAACUCUGUUGUUAGGGAAGAACAAAUUUGUUAGUAACUGAACAAGUCUUGACGGUACCUAACCAGAAAGCCACGGCUAACUACGUGCCAGCCGCCGCCGUAA
rnacentral:rRNA from 1 species